rnacentral:rRNA from 1 species
AAGAGACAGCAGUAGCCGCGGGAAUACAGAGGGUGCGAGCGUUAAUCGGAUUUACUGGGCGUAAAGCGUGCGUAGGCGGCUUCUUAAGUCGGAUGUGAAAUCCCUGAGCUUAACUUAGGAAUUGCAUUCGAUACUGGGAAGCUAGAGUAUGGGAGAGGAUGGUAGAAUUCCAGGUGUAGCGGUGAAAUGCGUAGAGAUCUGGAGGAAUACCGAUGGCGAAGGCAGCCAUCUGGCCUAAUACUGACGCUGAGGUACGAAAGCAUGGGGAGCAAACAGGAUUAGAUACCCCCGUAGUCCCUGUCUCUUAUAC